UGGGGAAUUUUGGACAAUGGGCGAAAGCCUGAUCCAGCAAUGCCGCGUGUGUGAAGAAGGCCUUCGGGUUGUAAAGCACUUUUGUCCGGAAAGAAAUCCUUGGCUCUAAUACAGUCGGGGGAUGACGGUACCGGAAGAAUAAGCACCGGCUAACUACGUGCCAGCAGCCGCGGUAAUACGUAGGGUGCAAGCGUUAAUCGGAAUUACUGGGCGUAAAGCGUGCGCAGGCGGUUUGCUAAGACCGAUGUGAAAUCCCCGGGCUCAACCUGGGAACCGCAUUGGUGACUGGCAGGCUAGAGUAUGGCAGAGGGGGGUAGAAUUCCACGUGUAGCAGUGAAAUGCGUAGAGAUGUGGAGGAAUACCGAUGGCGAAGGCAGCCCCCUGGGCCAAUACUGACGCUCGUGCACGAAAGCGUGGGGAGCAAACAGGAUUAGAUACCCUGGUAGUCCACGCCCUAAACGAUGUCAAC
rnacentral:rRNA from 1 species